UCAUCUGGGGAUUGUGUUGUC
rnacentral:misc_RNA from 1 species